rnacentral:lncRNA from 1 species
CCUCACCAUGGCCGGCCUAUAUGUUGUGAUUGGGCUUAUUGCCCAUUUGGUUUUAGUUGUCAUACAACUUAAACAUAAUGGGCCUUAUGGACCAAAACACUUUUGGGCCCCGAAACCCAAAACCAACUUAAAAGCCCAAUACGAACCUUUCGUAGAAUUAAUUAACUAAUUAAUUAAUCUUGACCAUUCUUCAAUUAAACCAU